GAGUUUGAUCGUGGCUCAGAACGAACGUUGGCGGCAGGCCUAACACAUGCAAGUCGAGCGAAGCUACGAGCUGAGCGGCGGACGGGUGAGUAAUGUAUGGGAAUCUGCCUUGUACUGGGGGAUAACUACCAGAAAUGGUAGCUAAUACCGCAUACGCCAUAUUGGGAAAGCUACGGCGGUACAAGAGGAGCCCAUAUGAGAUUAGCUAGUUGGUGGGGUAACGGCCUACCAAGGCAACGAUCUCUAGCUGAUCUGAGAGGAUGAUCAGCCACACUGGAACUGAGACACGGUCCAGACUCCUACGGGAGGCAGCAGUGGGGAAUAUUGGACAAUGGGCGAAAGCCUGAUCCAGCCAUGCCGCGUGCGCGAUGAAGGCCUUCGGGUU
rnacentral:rRNA from 1 species